CCCUUAGAUGUUCUGGGCCGCACGCGCGCUACACUGAUGCAUUCAACGAGUUUCUUCCUGGUCCGAGAGGAAUGGGUAACCUUUUGAAAGUGCAUCGUGAUAGGGAUAGACUAUUGCAAUUAUUGGUCUUCAACGAGGAAUUCCUAGUAGACGUAGUUCAUCAGACUGCAUCGAUUACGUCCCUGCCCUUUGUACACACCGCCCGUCGCUCCUACCGAUUGAAUGCUCAGGUGAGCCAUUCGGACUUUCAUCAUGCUGGUUUCCAGUUUUGAUGAAGGAAAGUCUUGCGAACCUUAUCAUUUAGAGGAAGGAGAAGUCGCAACA
rnacentral:rRNA from 1 species